CGGCCCUCUGCACUCAACUCCCUCAUGGGCCCGUAUUCACAAAGCGUCUCAGUAAGAGUGCUGGUGUAUGAUCAGCCCUCCUGUUCUGAGACAUGGAGCGGGCAACCAAUCCCUGUGUAGACAGUCAUACAGAGCUGACAGGGAGAAGGUGGAAGGAGAGGGACGAGACAGAAGAGAGGGAGAGUGGUAAAGGGAGAAGGUGGAAGGAGAGGGACGAGACAGAAGAGAGGGAGUGUGGUAAAGGGAGAAGGUGGAAGGAGAGGGACGAGACAGAAGAGAGGGGGAGUGGUAAAGGGAGAAGGUGGAAGGAGAGGGACGAGACAGAAGAGAGGGAGAGUGGUAAAGGGAGAAGGUGGAAGGAGAGGGACGAGACAGAAGAGAGGGAGAGUGGUAAAGGGAGAAGGUGGAAGGAGAGGGACGAGACAGAAGAGAGGGAGAGUGGUAAAGGGAGAAGGUGGAAGGAGAGGGACGAGACAGAAGAGAGGGAGAGUGGUAAAGGGAGAAGGUGGAAGGAGAGGGACGAGACAGAAGAGAGGGAGUGGUAAAGGGAGAAGGUGGAAGGAGAGGGACGAGACAGAAGAGAGGGAGAGUGGUAAAGGGAGAAGGUGGGUAGGAGAGGGACGAGACAGAAGAGAGGGAGAGGGGGAGUGGUAAAGGGAGAAGGAAAAGAUAGAGGAGUGCAGUAGAGGGAAGGGAAGGGAAGGUCCCUCCGAGACGUAGGGUUGAGAGGGGAGGGGAUGGAGAUCGAGACGGCCUGGAAGGAGAAAGAGAGAGCAGUCUCACCGUGAUUCCCUCCGCUUCGUA